GCGGAGGAAAAGAAAAUAACAAUGAUUUCCCUAGUAACGGCGAGUGAAGAGGAAAGAGCUCAAAGUUGGAACCUGUUUGGCCUAGCUAAACAGGAUUGUAAACUGUAGAAGUGUUUUCCAGGCAAUCCGAGUUAAUAAGUCCUUUGGAACAGGGCAUCAUAGAGGGUGAGAAUCCCGUCUUUGAUUCGAGAAUUUUUUGCCUUUUGCGAUACACUUUCAAAGAGUCAGGUUGUUUGGGAAUGCAGCCUAAAUUGGGUGGUAAAUCUCACCUAAAGCUAAAUAUUGGCGAGAAACCGAUAGCGAACAAGUACCGUGAGGGAAAGAUGAAAAGAACUUUGAAAAGAGAGUUAAACAGUAUGUGAAAUUGUUAAAAGGGAACCGUUUGGAGCCAGACUGGCUUGUCUGUAAUCAAUCUAGGCUUUGGCCUGGAUGCACUUGCAGACUAUGCCUGCCAACGACAAUUUGAUUUGAGGGAAAAAACUAGAGGAAAUGUGGCCAGCUUUUUUUUGUUGGUGUUAUAGUCCUUUAGAAAAUACCUUGGAUUGGAUUGAGGAACGCAGCGAAUGCUCUUGUGGCGAGUCUUUGAUAAGUCUUUACAGAUAUGACUGGGUGUUAAAAAACCCAGAACUUGAAGUUUAAACUUGUUUU
rnacentral:rRNA from 1 species